rnacentral:misc_RNA from 1 species
ACAUUUACUAGUAAGUGGGUCUACUCUUCCAUACUUUUUAACUUCUUUAGUCCUAUUUUUACACAAGUUGGAAUAGUCAUGAGUCAACAAGAACCUUCAAAAAGAAACACAAGAAGCAAAAAAACAAGACAUUUGCUAAAUCGGGAUCAUUAUCAUUCUUGGCAAAUAAGAAACGGCGGUUAUUGACAAUAAAUGAAAUUGUUCAAGCUAUAGAGUGCGAGAAAGGACGUAUGCUUAAAUUA